UAAAUACUAAUACCAGAUCGAUAGUGCACAAGUACCGUGAGGGAAAGGUGAAAAGAACUGAGGUGAUCAGAGUGAAAUAGAACCUGAAACCAUUUGCUUACAAUCAUUCAGAGCCCUAUGUAGCAAUACAGGGUGAUGGACUGCCUUUUGCAUAAUGAGCCUGCGAGUUGUGGUGUCUGGCAAGGUUAAGCAAACGCGAAGCCGUAGCGAAAGCGAGUCUGAAUAGGGCGCUUAGUCAGAUGCUGCAGACCCGAAACGAAGUGAUCUAUCCAUGAGCAAGUUGAAGCUAGUGUAAGAACUAGUGGAGGACUGAACCCAUAGGCGUUGAAAAGCCCCGGGAUGACUUGUGGAUAGGGGUGAAAGGCCAAUCAAACUUCGUGAUAGCUGGUUCUCUCCGAAAUAUAUUUAGGUAUAGCGUUGUGUCGUAAUAUAAGGGGGUAGAGCACUGAAUGGGCUAGGGCAUACACCAAUGUACCAAACCCUAUCAAACUCCGAAUACCUUAUAUGUAAUCACAGCAGUCAGGCGGCGAGUGAUAAAAUCCGUCGUCAAGAGGGAAACAACCCAGACUACCAGCUAAGGUCCCUAAAUCUUACUUAAGUGGAAAACGAUGUGAAGUUACUUAAACAACCAGGAGGUUGGCUUAGAAGCAGCCAUCCUUUAAAGAAAGCGUAAUAGCUCACUGGUCUAGUGAUUUUGCGCGGAAAAUAUAACGGGGCUAAAGUAAGUACCGAAGCUGUAGACUUGCACACAACUUAGAUUAUUUAAGUUUAGAAUAUGAGAAACUAAGUUAUAUGUUUAGUUAUAUUUUUACUGAUUUUUAUAGAGUAAAGAUAGAAAUAAAACUUAGUAAAAUCAGUAAAAAUAUUCUUAGACUAAAGUUAAGUAGUUUAAGUUGUGUGCAAGUGGUAGGAGAGCGUUCUAUUUGCGUCGAAGGUAUACCGGUAAGGAGUGCUGGAGCGAAUAGAAGUGAGCAUGCAGGCAUGAGUAGCGAUAAUUAAUGUGAGAAUCAUUAACGCCGUAAACCCAAGGUUUCCUACGCGAUGCUCGUCAUCGUAGGGUUAGUCGGGUCCUAAGUCGAGUCCGAAAGGGGUAGACGAUGGCAAAUUGGUUAAUAUUCCAAUACCAACAUUAGUGUGCGAUGGAAGGACGCUUAGGGCUAAGGGGGCUAGCGGAUGGAAGUGCUAGUCUAAGGUCGUAGGAGGUUAUACAGGCAAAUCCGUAUAACAAUACUCCGAGAACUGAAAGGCUUUUUGAAGUCUUCGGAUGGAUAGAAGAACCCCUGAUGCCGUCGAGCCAAGAAAAGUUUCUAAGUUUAGCUAAUGUUGCCCGUACCGUAAACCGACACAGGUGGGUGGGAUGAGUAUUCUAAGGCGCGUGGAAGAACUCUCUUUAAGGAACUCUGCAAAAUAGCACCGUAUCUUCGGUAUAAGGUGUGGUUCGCUUCGUAUUAGGAUUUACUCCGAAAGCGAAGAAACUUACAACAAAGAGUCCCUCCCGACUGUUUACCAAAAACACAGCACUCUGCUAACUCGUAAGAGGAUGUAUAGGGUGUGACGCCUGCCCGGUGCUCGAAGGUUAAUUGAUGGGGUUAGCAUUAGCGAAGCUCUUGAUCGAAGCCCGAGUAAACGGCGGCCGUAACUAUAACGGUCCUAAGGUAGCGAAAUUCCUUGUCGGUUAAAUACCGACCUGCAUGAAUGGCGUAACGAGAUGGGAGCUGUCUCAAAGAGGGAUCCAGUGAAAUUGUAGUGGAGGUGAAAAUUCCUCCUACCCGCGGCAAGACGGAGAGACCCCGUGGACCUUUACUACAGCUUGACACUGCUAUUUGGAUAAGAAUGUGCAGGAUAGGUGGGAGGCUUUGAGUAUAUGACGCCAGUUGUAUAUGAGCCAUUGUUGAGAUACCACUCUUUCUUAUUUGGGUAGCUAACCAGCUUGAGUUAUCCUCAAGUGGGACAAUGUCUGGUGGGUAGUUUGACUGGGGCGGUCGCCUCCCAAAUAAUAACGGAGGCUUACAAAGGUUGGCUCAGAACGGUUGGAAAUCGUUCGUAGAGUAUAAAGGUAUAAGCCAGCUUAACUGCAAGACAUACAAGUCAAGCAGAGACGAAAGUCGGUCUUAGUGAUCCGGUGGUUCUGUGUGGAAGGGCCAUCGCUCAAAGGAUAAAAGGUACCCCGGGGAUAACAGGCUGAUCUCCCCCAAGAGCUCACAUCGACGGGGAGGUUUGGCACCUCGAUGUCGGCUCAUCGCAUCCUGGGGCUGGAGCAGGUCCCAAGGGUAUGGCUGUUCGCCAUUUAAAGCGGUACGCGAGCUGGGUUCAGAACGUCGUGAGACAGUUCGGUCCCUAUCUGCCGUGGGCGUAAGAAGAUUGAAGAGAUUUGACCCUAGUACGAGAGGACCGGGUUGAACAAACCACUGGUGUAGCUGUUGUUCUGCCAAGAGCAUCGCAGCGUAGCUAAGUUUGGAAAGGAUAAACGCUGAAAGCAUCUAAGCGUGAAGCCAACUCUAAGAUGAAUCUUCUCUAAGCUCUCUAGAAGACUACUAGUUUGAUAGGCUGGGUGUGUAAUGGAUGAAAGUCCUUUAGCUGACCAGUACUAAUAGAGCGUUUGGCUUAUCUUUAAUAAAGCAU
rnacentral:rRNA from 1 species